rnacentral:rRNA from 1 species
GACGAACGCUGGCGGCGUGCUUAACACAUGCAAGUCGAGCGAUGAAGUUUCUUCGGAAAUGGAUUAGCGGCGAACGGGUGAGGAACACGUGAAGAAUCUGCCCUCCACUUUGGGAUAACACCGGGAAACCGGUGCUAAUACUGAAUAUUGAAACAUAAGUGGCAUCACUGAGUUUUGAAAGAAUUUCGGUGGAGGAUAACUUCGCGGCCUAUCAGCUAGUUGGUGAGGUAAUGGCUCACCAAGGCAACGACGGGUAGCCGGCCUGAGAGGGCGACCGGCCACACUGGGACUGAGACACGGCCCAGACUCCUACGGGAGGCAGCAGUGGGGAAUAUUGGGCAAUGGAGGAAACUCUGACCCAGCGACGCCGCGUGCGGGAUGAAGGCCUUCGGGUUGUAAACCACUCUCAGUAGGGAAGAAGCGAAAGUGACGGUACCUACAAAAGAAGCACCGGCUAACUAUGUGCCAGCCGCCGCCGUAA